AAAAGAAAGAAAAGGGAGAGAAAGAAAUGCAAGGUGGGCAAAGCUAUUUGACAUUUCUUCUCUUCCCUUUCAG
ensembl:miRNA